CCUGAACGCUGGCGGCGUGGCUAAGACAUGCAAGUCGCACGGGGUAGCAAUACCCAGUGGCGGACGGGUGAGUAAUUUAUCGCUAAUGUACCCUCGAGCCAGGGAUAGCUGUCCGAAAGGGCAGGUAAUACCUGAUGAUAUAACUGUGUCGCAUGACAUGGUUCUCAAAGCAGCAAUGCACUCCUGGAGCAGGCGAUAUCGUANCAGCUAGUUGGUGAGGUAACGGCUCACCAAGGCUAUGACGCGUAGCUGGUCUGAGAGGACGAUCAGCCACAUCGGGACUGAGACACUGCCCGGACUCCGUACGGGGGCUGCAGUAACGAAUCUUCCACAAUGCACGAAGUGUGAUGGAGCGACGCCGCGUGUAGGAUGAAGUUCUUCGGAAU
rnacentral:rRNA from 1 species